rnacentral:rRNA from 1 species
UACGUAGGGUGCGAGCGUUAAUCGGAAUUACUGGGCGUAAAGUGUGCGCAGGCGGCCGCGCAAGUCGAGUGUGAAAGCCCCGGGCUUAACUUGGGAAUUGCGCUCGAAACUACGUGGCUGGAGUGUGGCAGAGGAAGGUGGAAUUCCAGGUGUAGCGGUGAAAUGCGUAGAUAUCGGGAGGAACACCUGUGGCGAAGGCGGCGCUCUGGAACGUUUCUGACACUGAGGCUCGAAAGCGUGGGGAGCAAACAGG